rfam:Nicotiana attenuata strain TT chromosome 8, whole genome shotgun sequence.
CAUCCCUGUGAUGAAUACUUUAUAAAUUUAACGUUAAAAGUAGACUGAACUUUAAGGAAGACAAAAUUAAUUCUGAGGGAUG